ACUCCUACGGUAGGCAGCAGUCGAGAAUCUUCGGCAAUGGGCGCAAGCCUGACCGAGCGACGCCGCGUGCGGGAUGAAGGCCUUCGGGUUGUAAACCGCUGUCGUAGGGGAGGAAGGCUCCGUGCAGAACGGAGUUUGACCGAUCCUAGGAGGAAGGGCCGGCUAAUCUCGUGCCAGCAGCCGCGGUAAUACGAGAGGCCCAAACGUUAUUCGGAAUUACUGGGCUUAAAGAGUUCGUAGGCGGCAUGAAAAGUAGGGUGUGAAAGCCCUCGGCUCAACCGAGGAAUUGCGCUCUAAACUGUCGUGCUAGAGGAAGCUAGAGGUGAGCGGAACUGAUGGUGGAGCGGUGAAAUGCGUUGAUAUCAUCAGGAACACCGGAGGCGAAGGCGGCUCACUGGGGCUUUUCUGACGCUGAGGAACGAAAGCCAA
rnacentral:rRNA from 1 species